CACAUGUGACGUAGUUUGAUCAUGGCUCAGAACGAACGCUGGCGGCAUGCCUAACACAUGCAAGUCGAACGAGACUUCGGUCUAGUGGCGGACGGGUGAGUAACGCGUAGGAACCUGCCAAGCAGUGGGGAAUAACAGCUGGAAACGGCUGCUAAUACCGCAUACGCCCUUCGGGGGAAAGAUUUAUCGCUGUUUGAGGGUCCUGCGUUCGAUUAGCUAGUUGGUGAGGUAACGGCCCACCAAGGCGACGAUCGAUAGCUGGUCUGAGAGGAUGAUCAGCCACACUGGGACUGAGACACGGCCCCGACUCCUACGGGAGGCAGCAGUGGGGAAUAUUGGACAAUGGGGGAAACCCUGAUCCAGCAAUGCCGCGUGCGUGAAGAAGGCCUUAGGGUUGUAAAGCGCUUUCACCUGUGAUGAUGAUGACAGUAGCAGGAGAAGAAGCCCCAGCUAACUCCGUG
rnacentral:rRNA from 1 species